UCACAUGAUUGAUGUUAGCAGAAUGU
rnacentral:piRNA from 2 species